UCCUAUGCUUUUUUGAAUACACUUUAAAAAAAUGAUUAUGAGAAUGGAACCUUAGGCUUCCCCAGGCUUGCAAAAGAGUCUAUGACACAAAAGAGGUGUAGAACUCUUGCCCUAAAAUGACCAUCCUUAUGGCCUUCCUCAAUGGCUGGAUAUGAGAGGUGAGUGAGAAACAGCCCUAGUCUCAGAGUCUGAAGACCUGAGUCUGAUCUCAGAUCUCAUACUUUUUAGGUGUUUAAUCCAGAGCAAGUCACUUUCCUCACCUGCCAAAUGGGGAUGGUAAUACCAAGAUUACUGUGAGGAGAGUGCUGUGUAAAAUUUGAAGUGCUAUAGAAAACUGAAGUGGUGGCUUGUUUUCUGAAAAGAUUGUCUUGGCUGCCCCAGACUUGCAGCAAUGGAGCACGAUGCCUGAUAACCUGGCAGGGACUCUUCCACCCAAGGGCUGUCUGUGAUGUGGCAAAAGUAGGCAGUGAAUGGAACACUGUGUACUUGUGAAGAUUCAGAAUACUUAUUCAUGCUCAGCCAUGUUGACUCAACCCUGAACUUUGGUUUUCCUUCUCCACAGGGUUCUGCUUGGUAUCCUACGCAUCUCCCCUCAUUUGUAUACCUCAGGACUAGUUUCUCUACUAAGAAAAGUCAUUCCUGUCUUGAGAAGUCAAUGUAGCAUAAGAAUAGGGUGAGUAGUCCUGGUGUUUUAAGAUCUGGCUUUUGAACUUGGUGUGACUAGGUCUCUAGAUGUGACCUUGGAUCAUUUCCCACUUCUGAGGAUCAGUUUACUUGCUGGAAAAUGGCUCCUGGCAAAACUACUGUCCCCUCCCAUGCUUUAUUUUAGGCUCCUUUGGAGGCUAGCAUAAGACAAUAUUGCCAGUGGUUGGGUAGAUGAGUAGGGCAAUCUCUGUCUAGAGGAAAUCUCAUCUAUUGGAGGAUGCUCACUGAGCAUUUGAGAGAAUAGACAGGGUUUCAUGUUCAACAAGGCCUUUAGGCAUAUCAUGCUUGGAGCUAUGAGAGUCACUGUCAUUGUCCUUAGGGUUACUAUUCUUCAAUACUCACUAGCCAAAAGAACAAGUGACUUAGCAGUCCCAGGCUGCAAAUUGCUUCUGAAGUCAGGUCUUUAUUACGUAAGCAGCAGACUCAAAAUAGUAAUUCACUCCUGAGUCAUUUAUGCUUGUUCUGGGAAUGAAUCACAUUCAAUGGGAAGAGACUUACCAGCGAGGUCAGAGCCCAACCUCUGAUCCAAUGUGGAUCUAGCCUCUACUUGGAGACCCCCACUGAUGGUUGAACUCAUCGCCAUAUUGAGUCUUCUCACACUGAGUUGGACUCAUCCAAAGCUCAGGUAAGAUACAGCAAUUUUAGCCCAAUAUUGAAAGCGGACCACCAUAUAUUUGAAGGCAAUAAUCUUCCUAUAGAAAACUGAUGAUUGACUGUUUGCCUCAAGAACCAGAUAUAAGGGGACCCUGAAGUUACCUAUACAGUACCAAGAGAACGAAUACUCAACUUAAUGCCAGGAAACCUGAGUUAUAGUUUUUAUUCUUUCACCAACUAGACUUUGACUUUGGGCAAGUCACUUCCAAUCUCUGAUCCUCAGUUUCCUCUUCUGAAUAAAAGGAGGUGGUUUGGAUGAACUGACCUCUGUCUGCACUCCUACCACACUCUAACAUCCCAUGAAUUAACCUCCCAUCAUCACCCGACCCUUUCUUGGAAGGACUCAAGCUUGAGUCUUCUGGGCUGCCAUUUGCUAUUCUGUACUCCUUGCCCAGAAUACAAGGCUCAUGCUCACAUGGGCCAGGAUGAGAAUCUACCCUUGCCACAGUACCACUCUUUCUAGGGAUGACAGGCUUUCCAGACUGUGAUUUUUUUGCCAGUUCCAGCCAUUCUGGGGGGUCAUGACUCUCCCCCUAAGUGCUCACCCUUUUGCAUCACUAGACAAGCCAGGGUAUAUUCCUAAACCCAGGAGAUACAUCGAUAACCCCAAGAAAUUCAGAAAAAUAUUGUCCGUAAGUUUGACACAUCAACCAAUAGAAGGAUAGAGAGCAGGAGAGAAGCACAGACUAGCAAAAGAGCAUUUCAGUGGAAAAGGUACCAGGGCUUUGGAGGGGACCGGGCACGCUCCUGACUCUGAUAGGUAGGAAAGCAGAACUCCCUCCAAACCUACUUUCUUUCUCACCUGCAAACUCCCCACAAUGGUAGCUUUUGUUCAUCACUGCAGGUGAGUUUACACUUAUUCUGCUUUUUUACUGCCCUAUGUUUGCUGAAGCGUCUCUCGGCUGCUGCAUUUGAUUGAGAACACAAAAUUGGAAAUCUGGCCUCAGUAGGGAUAGGCUAAUUUGGCCUCAGACAAAAGACCUGGGAAGCAAACUGAAACAGCACAUCUUUAAUAGUCUGUUAAAUACAUACAAAACACUAAUAAAAUAUCCCUGAUAAACCAAAGUGCAUAUUGACGUGGUGCACGAUGCCUGGAUACCUUAUUGCGCCACUCUCGACAGCCACCCAUAUCUCAAAACGUCACUAAACAGUUAGUUGUCUAUUGAAAGUUUGAAAGUUAACAGUCGUGAACAUAGUUAUACAGUUUAACACCGAUUAUUUUACAUAACAGUAUUCAGUGCCAGCUAUGUGUCUUUGCUUUGCGGUCGUGUUGAUGAAAUAUUAACAGCUUUUGGGGAAAACAACAACAACAACAUUUGUCUAGACCGCCAGCAUUCAAAGAUGGAACUGCAUGGUGGGUAAUGACACAUCUGAAGCGCUACAUUGCCGCAGAGCUAGAGAUUCGAGUCUGUCACCUGACAGACUUAGUCUGUCCCGCUUAGGGGCAUGGGACGGCCCCGAACUUAGAGCCUAUGGAUGACUUGGUAGAUAGAGAGAUGCAGCUGGAAUACGUGCAUUCCAAAACUAAGAUGUCUUCUGAAAUGCUCUCUAAAGGACUAACUCCUCUUCCUUGGCACAGAAAUGUCAUGGGAAGUAAUGAGGCCAUUAGAGUUUGGAGGAAACAAAAGAAAAAGGACUCUUUCUCCUUUGGGAACUGUGCAAAUUCCCCUAAGAACGUUCCUGACUUCUCGUCUAUGCCAGUUUGAGUCAGCUCCUGGCAGACAAGCCUGUGAUAUACCAGGGUGAUGUUUGCUUUUGAAGCCAGGCUUAUUGAUCAGUGCUACUACCUUUCACCUUUAAGGCAUUUUUCUAAAUGUUUCUCCUAAGCAAAACAGCCGUAACAAUUGAGGUAAUUCUGUAGUGGUUUCCGCAGUCCCAUUGGCCACUUGACAUAUCUACAUGAAAUAGUCUCUGACUGUCUGCUGGUCAGUCUCUCACUCACACAGGCAUGCUGCUCAGCGUCAAAACAUGGGCAGGUUAGCAAAAGCAACCUGGGAGGUUGAUGAAUGAAAACCCAGAAUAACAGGGUCUCUCUGGACACUACACCCACCUUUUAGAACAGAUCACUUCCAGGGCAGGGGAGGGCACAGCUAUGGUGGCAAGAGUUCUGCCACAUGCAGAAAAGCCCAGACUUUGUGGUGAGACACAAAACCCUUUAUGAAAAUGGGGCCCCACGGAACACAGCAAAAGAGAGCAGCAGCAGCAGCAGCAGCAAAAGCAGCAGCAGCAGCAGCAGCAAUGAGUGGAGCUUUUAAACAUUCCCACAGGAUGGAAACACGAGGAGACUGCAUUGUUUUGAGCAUUGCACAGGAACAAACACAAAAUGAAAGGCAGAGAAAAAGAACAGAGCCGGGUGCCCUGUCGGGAGCACAGCACGUGAGGGAGGUGGGGUAGGGAUGGGAAGGAAGUCUCUCAUUCAUCUGUCUACCCUGUUGGAAGAAAAGCAGGCUGAGCGGAGGAGAUGUUGGACAGAGGAAGAGGAAGCGAAAGAAACUUGGCACUCCAAGGUCUGUCGUCAUGGGGAUGUGAUCAUGUUCAUGACCGGUCUCGGUCUUGGCCCCAAACUGCACAUCUUGGACCAGGGAGUUGCUUUUCACCUAUGCCCGAGAGCCCCAGGCUGAUGGCUCUUGGCACUAUCCCGGAGGCCUGGGCCUCACAGCAGAAAUUCUCCUUCCCACGUCCACAGGCCGGGGACAUCAUCCGCCUCCAGGGCAACACGGGCUCUGAAUCAGAGAGAGGCCAGGCAUUGAGGAGGCCCCUGGGAAGAAAGAAAGAUUCAGCCCCAGAGAGGACUCAGGGAGAGUCAGGGGAACUUUCCAUAGAGAGAGAGGAAAAGAGCCAAAGGCAAGAUCCGCAGUGGCCCGGGCAUGCAGGAAAGGCCGAAGGCAGAGUUAUAAACGGGUC